GUCAAACUGUUGGCAGAUGUCCUGUUGCACAGAUGGCCAUUCAGUAGCAAUUGCAGGAUGGCUGACAGAAGCACGUCAGAUGACCUAAGAAGGACAUGUGGAUCUCCGAGAAGUUGCUCUCAGUCUCAAAGUUUUGUAAGCUCUUCUGACCUCUGGAAUUUUAAGCGCAUCACUUCUCUACAGCAGCAGCAAGAGGGAGAGCUGGGAUUUGCAGGCGGAUGA
rnacentral:lncRNA from 1 species